AGUGAACGCUGGCGGUAGGCCUAACACAUGCAAGUCGAACGGCAGCACAGGAGAGCUUGCUCUCUGGGUGGCGAGUGGCGGACGGGUGAGGAAUACAUCGAAAUCUACUCUGUCGUGGGGGAUAACGUAGGGAAACUUACGCUAAUACCGCAUACGACCUACGGGUGAAAGCAGGGGACCUUCGGGCCUUGCGCGAUUGAAUGAGCCGAUGUCGGAUUAGCUAGUUGGCGGGGUAAAGGCCCACCAAGGCGACGAACCGUAGCUGGUCUGAAAUGAUGAUCAGCCACACUGGAACUGAGACACGGUCCAGACUCCUACGGGAGGCAGCAGUGGGGAAUAUUGGACGAUGGGCGCAAGCCUGAUCCAGCCAUACCGCGUGGGUGAAGAAGGCCUUCGGGUUGUAAAGCCCUUUUGUUGGGAAAGAAAUCCAGCUGGCUAAUACCCGGUUGGGAUGACGGUACCCAAAGAAUAAGCACCGGCUAACUUCGUGCCAGCCGCCGCCGUAA
rnacentral:rRNA from 1 species